rnacentral:lncRNA from 1 species
UCCAACAAGAAGAAAAUCUAAUUGAAAUAUACUAAAAUAUUACUUCUAAGUAGUUGCAAAGGUCUCUUUACCACUUUCUUUACCUUGCCUUGUACCACCCCAACCUUCAUCACCCGACAUCUAAAAAAAUUGUAUGAUAACUAACAUGUACAAAUAAUGAAGUUCUCUAGAUUAUUGUCCUCGCCAAUUAUUUACUUCUAUCGUACAAAUCUUCUCACAAAAAAUUCCCUGCAAUAGGACCAAUCCCACAAAAGAGAAUCUGAUGACUAUCCAUGCAAUUAGUUUUUGAAGGACUGCAACCAAAAAGACCUAUUGUUUUGUCAAAAAAAAAGUAGCAAAUUUAAGCACAAUACCUCUAUAGGAGAUAUGACAUUCCUAAAUGGAUCCAAUGGUGCAUUUUCCCCAUAAAGCAAAUAGUUGUCAUAAGUAAGUGACUUUGCAGAAUCUGGUGCUUGAGGCAAAUCUCUAGAAGACACUUCUGAUACUUCAGCACUCUUG